UACGUAGGGUGCGAGCGUUGUCCGGAAUUAUUGGGCGUAAAGAGCUUGUAGGCGGUCUGUCGCGUCUGCUGUGAAAAUCCGGGGCUCAACCCCGGACUUGCAGUGGGUACGGGCAGACUAGAGUGUGGUAGGGGAGACUGGAAUUCCUGGUGUAGCGGUGAAAUGCGCAGAGUAUCAGGAGGAACACCCGAUGGCGAAGGCAGGUCUCUGGGCCACUACUGACGCUG
rnacentral:rRNA from 1 species